rnacentral:rRNA from 1 species
AUGAAGAAGAAGAAGCCAGUGCUGUUCCUUGCGUUGGAGGCGCUACUGGUCGCCGCUCUGCUUCUUCUUCCCGGCCAGUGCCAGGGGUCUCGUGGAGCCAGCCUCACGGUGACCGGCACCGUGUUCUGCGACGCCUGCUCCUCCAGCUCCUUCUCCAACCACAGCUACUUCCUGCCAGAUGUGAAGGUCAGAAUCGACUGCGCGAUCAGGGCGAGCACGGCUUCCAAGGAGGAGAUCAAGAUCACGGCCGAGAAGACCACCGACAGCCACGGCGCCUACCGGCUCGACAUCCCGGCGAUCGCCGGCCUCGGCUGCACCACCGGCGGCGAGGCCGCGUCCUUCUGCCGGGCCGCCGUGCUGGACAACCCCUCGCCGCUCUGCGACGUGCCUGCCGUGACCACCACCGCCGGCCACAUCUCCUUCUCGGCCCGGGACCCCGACGCGUGCCUCUACAACCUCAACUCCCUCUACUACCGCCCGGGCAACAAGGCGGGCCAGUGCGACGGCGCGGGGGCGUCGACGCCGGCGGCCGCCGCGCUCAACACGUCGCUCUUCUACUGCCCGCACUGGCCGUGGCCGCCCAUCCCGUUCUGCACGCCCCGCCCCUGGUUCCCGCCCAUACCCUUCUUCACUCCCCCGCCGCCGGCAUUCCCGUUCCCAUUCCCGCCAUUCCCGUUCUUCACGCCACCGUCACCUCCACCACCGGCUUUCCCUUUCCCUUUACCGCCCUGGCCGUGGACGCCACCGGCGUCGCCGCCGCCGCCAUCGUUCCAGUUCCCUCAUCUGCCACCGAUUUUCUCGACGCCAUCUCCGCCGCCGCCCCCGCCGCCGCCGCCUGCAUUCCCGUUCCCUUUGCCGCCGUUUCCACAGCUACCUCCUUUUCCGCAUUUUCCGCCUCUGCCGUCGUUGUAUUCGCCACCGCCUCCUCCGCCACCCCCGCCACCACCUCCGCCGCCUUCCUUUCCUUGGCCUUUCCCGCCAUUGCCAUUCUUCCCUCCAACUGCAAGCCCUUCGGUGCCAUCUCCUCCACCUUCAAGGCAUUACCGCAAAGAUCCGAGCACCUGGUCCUCUUCCAAAACCCAACCAUAA